rnacentral:lncRNA from 1 species
CUGUAAAUUUGUGAGCUUCCUAAUACUUCACCUCAUAGUAAUCAAAUUCAAAAGCACAUGUGUAUAGAAGACCCUCUCUAGGAGUGGCUGCAUUUAAAGACAGCAAGAUAGGUUCCUCAAGUCUCGUAAGAGACCAAUCACUGCUGGCUUCCUUGACUUCCAAAGUUAAGUUUAUUCUUCCAACUCUUGAUAAUUACCAUUUCAUUUCUCACUUCAGAGUACACAUGAGAGGCAGUAGAGUGUAUAGUUAAUAACAAUGAUGGAAGUAGUAACAGGAGUUAAUAUUGAUUCUGUGCUUGCAAUGAACCACACGUUCUUCCACGUGCUAAGUCCAAUUCCCUUGAUAUCGCCAUGCACUGCACCACCAACAUGCACAAACUUCCUAUAUUCCUAGAAUGUUCAGUUGGUCCUAGCCACAUACAUGCAUUGAUGGGAUGCCCUGUUAGGAGUUAUAUUUGAAUUUGGCCCCUUCUGCCCACAUCCUCAUCUUUCUGCUCCCUUUCUCUUCUCAUUCCCCUUCUUCUCACCCACAGUGCUCCAUAGAAACUGCUAAGGUGAAAGUUGCCAGGUGGCCUCUAUAUGGCCAGAUCUAAUGAACACUGUCUUCAGUUUUCUCCCCUUUGACAUUUGGCCACUGUAAGUCUUCAUGAAUACAACUCUCACGUGUCUCAUCAUGCAUAUUAACCCUCUUGCCUGGCUUUCCUUCAUUCCUCCUUUCUUGUUCUCUAUUAUCCCCUUAAAGGCUGGUCUUCUCCAGGAUACGAAAUUUGAUUCCCUUACCCGUCUAUGGAAAACCCAAUCCAUAUCCAUGAAAUCAAAUACAACAUAUAGGCUGCCAAUACACAAAGCUAAAACUCCAGGCCUGAAUCCUUUCUGAUAACCAUAUCUUUAUCUCCAACUACCUAGCCAAAGGACCAGAUAUAUCUAUCUAUGAUUAAAAUAAAAUUCACUUUUUUCCUUUAAACAAGCCUAUUUUUCCUUCAUACUCUGUGUAUCAUGACUAUCCAGCUACUACUCAUCUUACAAAUCUAAAAACAUCAUCCUAAAUAUCUCCUUCUCUCAACUCCAAAUAAUAGCAGUUAUUUAUUGGAUUUUGAGGUGGGGCCAUAUUAUUUUUAUACUUUGAUUUGUUUCAUUAAAAAGUGACCCACAAAUUAGUGGCUAUAAUUCCCACUUCACAGGGGAUAAAGCUGAGUCUUAGAAGUACUCAAUAACUUGACCCAAGUCAGACAGAUAGUACAAGGCAGUAUGGGAUUGAAAUGAAAUUCGAUCUGACCUAAAACUCCUUGUAUUUUCAACUGCACUGUGUGACUGCUCACCCAGUACUGAUAGUAAUUAUAAUAAUCAAUGUGGAUUGAAUGACUAUGUUUGAAACACCAGAUAUUGAGAAAUUUUCACAAAUUAACUCGUUUAAUGCACACAGAAGCUCUAUGAUUUAGGUACUACAAUCGCAGUUUACAAACGAGAAAACUGAGACUCAGAGAAUUUAAAACUUGCCUUUUAUGAAUAACCCAACUAGUAAGCUAUAAAGUUGUAGUUCCAGGACUCAAAACCAAACUCUCUAAGCUUCUGGGAUCUUCCUCCCCAGAAAGCACUUUAAUCUGCCUCUCUGUCUUCACCACCACUGCUAGUACCCUGGUUCGAACUCUCAUCAUUUCCCUCUGCCUUUUGUCUCCUACUCAAUUCCCAUUGAACCUACUACAUUUCAUACAUGGCUGCAUCAUUAGCACAUAAGACAUGAUUUCCUAACUCUUAACUUCUCAGGGACUUCAUGAGGUUAGGUAUUUCAUCUUAUUCAUCUCUGUUUCCAUCCAAACAUUGAUACAUUUUAGAUAAAUGGAUAGACAGGUGCGUAUCCUCCCCA